CAUAUCGUGAAUUAUGAAUUUAGGAUAUGGAAAAUCAAGACAGAUGCGUAUCUAUGGUACGUAUUCAGCGAAAUGAUUUAAAUACAUUUAUUAAAUUAAAUGUCGAUCUAUCCUAUGUACCUACACAUGAAGGAUUGGAGAAUUUAUAUCUUAUACAAAAUGUAUACGUUAUUACUAAUAGAAUUGUAUAAAUGCUUAAAUACAAUAAGAUUAUUAAGAUUAUUUUAUUCUCGUAAGAUCGUGAUAAUGAUCAAAAUAACGAUUCUUUAACUCAAUGCCAUAUACUGAUCAGAGAUCAGCAAUUAAAUCGAUAGAAGAAACGAGUUUCUUAUCACGCGUCAUUUUACUAGGAAUUUCAUUACAUCGAAUAAGUAGCCCAACCCAUAAAUAAAUCAGGCAAACGGGGAGAAUGACUAACGCAAGAUUACGCGACCCAUCGACCACUUUCGGCCCACGCUAUUUUAUCACAUUUUUAAUCCGAUCUUCGUACAUAUAAGAUGAUCACGAUAUUUGCAAGACGAGAUGAAUUAAUAUUUUAAUCACUCGUUGCAAUAAUUAUGAAAUGUAUGCACAAAUCACACAAUACCAGAUGAAGAAUUAAAUUGAUAUCCCACAGAGAGCUAGAGCUUACUUAAUUUUGCCUAAACAUAUUACAUUUUUAAACACAAAAUUUGAAAGUUAUAGUUUACUGCAUAUGUUAUUUUCUUACUAUUGCACAUCCGCAGUAGUAUGUUUUAUUUCUCUGUUCUAAUAUUAAACGUCAUGAAUAUUAAUCAAAGGUGACUAAUUCUAAUGUACGUACACUCCCUGUAUAGAAUUAUAAUGUACUGGAAAAAAUAGUCUUAUCAAUGUCUUACUAUCUUCAUUUGGACGACAGUUACAAAUAUCUUUCCUUGCAAAAUUGUUAUAAAAGUUUAAAUAAAAAAUUAUGAAUAUACAUUUUUUACAAGUGUAUGAAAAAAAUUGUAUACACAAUUUUUUGCAACAUUCAGUAGGGAAUGUUUUGUUUCAAAGUAAUAAAGAAAUAUUUUUCUAAAACAAAUCCAUAAAAACAAUGCAAAGAUAUUUAAAUAAGUUGUGAUACUCAUUUGCGCGCGACAUAUAUAAUUCAGUUGGACAUAUUUUACAUUCAUAACAUAAAAUGAUUUGUGAGGUAUAUACUGUACAUUUAGUACAAAUUCAUAAAAGGACUU